rnacentral:rRNA from 1 species
UAGGGAAUCUUCCACAAUGGACGCAAGUCUGAUGGAGCAACGCCGCGUGAGUGAAGAAGGUCUUCGGAUCGUAAAGCUCUGUUGUUAGAGAAGAACACGAGUGAGAGUAACUGUUCAUUCGAUGACGGUAUCUAACCAGCAAGUCACGGCUAACUACGUGCCAG